UACGUAGGGGGCAAGCGUUGUCCGGAGUUACUGGGCGUAAAGCGCACGCAGGCGGUCUCUAAGUUUGGAGUGACAGUUGGUGGCUUAACUGCCAAAGUGCUUCGAAAACUGAGAGACUUGAGGGCUUCAGAGGGACACGGAAUUCCGGGUGGAGUGGUGAAAUGCGUAGAGAUCCGGAGGAACACCAAAGGCGAAGGCAGUGUCCUGGGGAGUACCUGACGCUCGAGGUGCGAAAGCCAGGGGAGCGAACGGG
rnacentral:rRNA from 1 species